rnacentral:tRNA from 1 species
UGGGGAUUAGCCAAGCGGUAAGGCAACGGACUUUGACUCCGUCAUCCUAGGUUCGAAUCCUUGAUCCCCAGCCA